rnacentral:rRNA from 1 species
UACGUAGGGGCAAGGCGUUGUCCGGAUUUAUUUGGGUCGUAAAGCGCUCGCAGGUGGUUCGAUGCGUCGUGCGUGAAAGCCCCCGGCUCAACUGGGGAGUGUCGUGCGAUACGGUCGGACUGGAGGCCAGUAGGGGGAUGCGGAAUUCCGGGUGUAGUGGUGGAAUGCGUAGAGAUCCGGAGGAACACCAGCGGCGAAGGCGGCAUCCUGGAC